GGAACUGUAUUAAAGGCUCACAGCAUGGGCGCAAUGUCAGCUGAUUGUGGAGUUGCUUUGUGUGCGAGCUGGUUGGGGUUCCACUGUCCCGCCAUCCACGCCGCAGCCAUGUCAUUCUUCCUGAAGCUUUACUACAAUGUGGACAGUGGCUACUUGGAGGGACUGGUGUGUGGCCUGAAAGCUAGGGUGCUCAGCCAGGCAGACUACCUCAACCUGGCACAGUGCAAGACACUCGAAGACUUGAAACUGCACCUGCAGAGCACUGACUACAGCAACUUCCUGGCCAACAAGGCUUCACCUCUGACAGUGUCAGUCCUUGAUGACCGUCUUAAGGAGAAGAUGGUGGUGGAGUUCUGCCACACAAGGAACUAUGCCUAUGAACCACUCGCCAGCUUCCUGGACUUCAUUACUUACAGCUACAUGAUCAACAAUGUGAUCCUGCUCAUCACAGGCAUGCUACACCAGUGCUCCAUCGCUGAACUCGUGCCCAAAUGUCACCCGCUAGGCAGCUUUAAGCAGCUGGAGGCUGUGAACAUUGCUCAGAAACCUGCUGAGCUCUGCAAUGCCAUUUUGGUGGACACGCCCUUGGCAGAUUUUUUUCCAGGAUUGCAUUUCAGAGCAGGACCUUGAUGAGAUGAACAUCAAGAUUAUCUACCUGCAGUCCUUCUGUAAGUUCUGCUCCCCACUGGGUGGGACCACAGCCGACGCCAUGUGCCCCAUCCUGGGUAGGAAAGCUGCUCUUUGAGGGUGCAGGCAGCAACCCUGGAGACAAGACCCUAGAGGACCAAUUCUUUGAGCACAAAGUGAAGCUGAACAAGUUGGCCUUCCUGAACCAGUUCCACUUUGGUUUCUUCUAUGCCUUUGUGAAGCUCAAGGAACAGGAGUGUCGCAACAUCAUGUGGAUUGCUGAGUGGAUUGCCCAGCGCCACCACGCCAAGAUCAACAACUACAUCCCUAUCUUCUAGCAUUCUGUCCCGAGGCUCCCAAGUGCACUGUGUGUGUCUGUGUGGUCUGUGAUGAAGCCCAUGGCUCACCUGCCUGCCCUGAGGGGUAGCACACUGUCCUAGUGACUGCCCAGCUUCCCUGACCCUCUCUGAAACUGCUCUUAGGCCUGAAAAGGAGCUGGGCACCUGUUGCCCCCACCAAGGAUGGACCAAGAUCUUCUCCAGAGCAAGGAGGCCCCCCCUCAGCCCUAUGUUUACAGCUGCUGAUGUGUCUGAGAAGCAUGUGGUCACUUUCAGGUGCCUCCCUAACCUGAGAAUCCCUGGGGACAGUAUGAGCCUCCUCUUGUCUCUGUGGGUCACUCUCAGAGCUAGGCCCACGGGAAGGAUAGAGCGUGUGUAUCCUUAGGGUGGACGGAAGUAGCUCUGCCCCUCUGAGACAAUAAAA